rnacentral:rRNA from 1 species
UACGGGGGGGGCUAGCGUUGUCCGGAAUUACUGGGCGUAAAGGGCGCGUAGGCGGUCUGCUAAGUUGGAUGUGAAAACUCUGGGCUUAACCCAGAGCCUGCAUUCAAUACUGACAGGCUAGAGUUCUGGAGGGGAUAGCGGAAUUCCUGGUGUAGCGGUGAAAUGCGUAGAUAUCAGGAGGAACACCGGUGGCGAAGGCGGCUAUCUGGACAGAGUCUGACGCUGAGGCGCGAAAGCUAGGGGAGCAAACAGG